rnacentral:lncRNA from 1 species
AGCCUUUCAGCAUUUUUCACCUUUUAGUACCUGUAAAAAAUAAAUUGCUUAUCCGUUUUUCUCCACCACAGAUGUGAUUUACUGAUCAGGCUAAUGGUAAAGACGCCCGUUGCUGGGGUGGAGAUAUCUCCCGUUCGAAGUACUAGUUGGUACUGUUGGCACAGCUUGCUCUAGUUGACUAGCUCGGCAAACGACAAACAAUUACAGAAGUUCCGUGAAAGCGCAACAGAAAACAAAACUAAUUAGAUUUAAAAAAAAAAACUAAAUUAAAGGAUUCCCGUUUAUACUUGAAUCUCUGAAUUUCGUCGACAACUUUCUCCUGCAGAAAAUCGAUGAGUGAGAUUGAAAAGGGACCCAGCACAAGGUAAAGGAUGGCAUGUUGCAUCAUCUUGUGUGUGACGGAUUCACUCGCUUAAAUCACUAAUGCGUUGUACAUGGCUCAAUAAUGUUUGCAAAUGUAAAGAUAUGAUCCCUUGUUUUGGUAACAUCAAUUAUGAGCUGUAAAUAGAAAAAUAAUUAACAUUUCCCCCUGGAUGCUGGAACAAUGAAAAAGUAGGCCUACUUUUUCAAACUAAUUGGGGAAAGUGAUGGAAAGAUGGCCGACUUCACCAACGUGUUGGGUGUCGAGACAAGGAUUGAUUUUUACACUGACUAGGGAAAGCAGGUCAAGAAAGAAAUUGACUGUCCGCCAUGAGGCUGUCCAAAACUCACCUCACCCCUUCUCCGCCCUCACUUACUUCACUCUGAAACAAGUCAACACGAUGUUCUAAGCAAUGGGGCGACGUUUCCAAUUUUAUGAAACCCAUUUAUCUCGUAAUUUUUUAGAAAUUUAUAACCGGAAAACUAAGUGGUGUAAUCAGGAUAUUCCAAAAGUGAGAGCUCGAGUUAUGAAAUCAUGCCGAAAUAAUAUUGCGAAAUUGGUGUUGGAUUAUUGGGACUCAUUUUAAAUUUCCGUUUCUGGCAUGAUAGAGGUCGGCGACGAACAUCACGAGCAGCAAACAGAUGAGGAACCAGAAAAAAUGCCAGGCUAAAGUAUCGAUCAGUUCGAUAGACUGCUGGGCAGAGAGGGCUGUGGUGACAAUUUUCAUCUUUUGAAGUUUGCAAGAUAUUUCCGGGCGAAAAUGUAGAACUGGUGCAGGGUGCUGCCUAUUUAUCAAUGUCCAGAUUGGCACAGGAAUCACAAACAACCUAAAACGUUUUCUCGAUACUGAAAUUGUUAACGUAUAAAAAUUCUCGAUCGACGAUUUGAACAUGAUCCGAUAAAAUGAGAACUUGUUCCCUAAAGCCGAAAUGGGACCUCCAUGACGAGACGUGAUUUGAUUUCAAAGAAACAAAUUCUCUUGGGGAAUGAAGAACUAAAUGGGGACUCAUCGUCUGCGAGUCUUUGUGUCAAGUGGUACACAGGAGAUUUCAUUUUAUUGAUCGGACAAGAUCGUCAAGGCCUAUUAUUCAAUCAAUGUUCCAUCAAACUGCUAAGAACGAAAAAAAGGAUUGGCGGCACAUUUUGUUGACGCCCUCUUGUUAUUCGUUGUUACGAUUUGAAUCCCUCCUCCCUGCGUUGUUGUGCGUGCCGGUACUGCAAAUCGACCAAACAGACUUUGACGACUGCUUUUUUCCACGAUUUGAAUAGUGCUGUUGUCGAUGUUGAUCCAAUAGAUUUUCGAUACAUUUGCAUAUAGAUGUUUUGAGGUUCGGCCAAUCCGACUAGCAAACGUUGUCGACUUUCUACCGAUUGAUAAUGCCCAGUUAACUACGGUUAAGUAAACUUCAACCAAUUCUCCAUCAGUUGAUCGAAAGGAAACAAGGUGAACCAGUUCCUGUUUUCAGCUUUACGGUAAGGCACGUGAUACAAGUUCUCGGGUGUGACAGACGGAGCUGAGGGAGACGAUCGAUGUCCGCAUUGACAUUUUGACGGUCUUCGUCCCUCCCUUCUAAACUACACUCGCCAAGGAUUAACAGGAAUUCUAUAGUACGCAGACGAGCACUGCCAACAUUCUUCUAUCACUACACGUAGUAAAUCGAUCUUUUCAGCGUCACCGUUUGGUGACUGUCGAAAAGAAAGAAGAA